rnacentral:rRNA from 1 species
UACAGAGGGUGCGAGCGUGUUCGGAAUUAUUGGGCGUAAAGGGCGCGUAGGCGGUUGGGUAAGUCACCUGUGAAAUCUCCUGGCUCAACUGGGAGCUUGCAGGCGAAACUGCUUGACUGGAGUAUGGGAGAGGUGCGUGGAAUUCCCAGUGUAGAGGUGAAAAUUCGUAGAUAUUCGCAAAGAACACCAGUGGCGAAGGCGGCUCACUGGCCCGAUACUGAC